rnacentral:lncRNA from 1 species
AAAAAACCUCAGGUGUACCAAAAAUAUAAUAAUUAGCAUCACACGAAGAUCACAAUUUUUUUUGUUAAUUAUUAUGGUCAGGAUAAACUGCACUGUUUAUUAUAAUCAGACAUAAUUUAGGGACGCUUAUAGGUGCAUUGGCACGGAAGAAAAUUUUAUUUGACGGGGUCUCACAGUGUCCUGCCUAGGGUUCCUCCUCAGAUUUUGCGACAUCAUACUUUGCACAAAUCUUAAAGCAACAGUCUGGAGCUUCACCUAGUCACCAGAUACAUACUAUUGGAAUUCCACCAUCUUCAAUUACAUUAGCACUUGUAUAUAAAGUGUAGUGUAAACUACUCCUGUGCAUGACAGAAUUAGAUCAAUUUUAAUUUGUUUAUGAUUGUACCAUUGGAGGAUAAUGUAAAUGCGAAAUCGUUCGUUGCCACUGGCCAAUGU